rnacentral:lncRNA from 1 species
GAGCAAUAGAGAUUGCGUCAUCUGUGGAUCUGUUGGGCUUGUAUGCUAAUUGGAUUGGGUCCAGGGUUUCUGGGAUAAUGAUGUUGAUGUGAGCCAUGACCAGCCUUUCAAAGUAUUUCAUGGCUACAGAUGUAAGUCCUAUGGGGUGGUAAUCAUUUAGACAGGUUACAUUGAUUACGGGGGGAUAAUCUCACCAAAGGGAAACAACAAAACAGUAAAGAACAACUUGUACAAAAAGCUCCUCUAAAUAUAUUGUAAUGAAAGCCACAGAAAUGUCUGCAAAGUAAUAUGUUAACGUUUUACUGGCUAUAUAACAUCUAUUCUACCGGGUCCAAAAAUCUGCUCCUUUUAAUGUCUGUUCCCCAAGAACUGGACAACCAGUUCUUAUUGCCUUUAGCCGUACCCUUAACCAACGCCGCCUCUGUUCCUCUGGUGAUAUAGAGCUUAACCCAGGGCAUGUAGCCCCCAGACGCUCUCAUUUGUUGACUUCUGCAACCGUAAAAGCCUUGUGUUCAUGCGAAGCCUCCUCCCUAAGUUUGCUUUACUCACUGCUUUAGCACACUCCACCAACCCUGAUGUCCUAGCCAUGUCUGAAUCCUGGCUUAGGAAGGACAGCGAAAAUUUCUGAAAUUUCCAUCCCCAAUUAAAACAUUUUCCGUCAAGACAGAACUACUAAAGGGGGCGGAAUUGCAAUCUACCGUAGAGAAAGCCUGCAGAGAUCUGUCAUACUAUCCAUGUCUAUGCCCAAACUGUUUGAGCUUCUACUUUCAAAGAGCCAUCUCUCCAAAAAUAAGUCCCUCACUGUUGCCGCUUGUUAUAGACCCCCUCAGCUCCCAGCUGUGCCCUGGACACCAUAUGUGAAUUGAUUGCCCCCCAUCUAUCGUCAGAGUUCGUACUGCUAGGUGACCUAAAUUGGUAUGUGCUUAACACCCAGGCCGUCCUACAAUCUAAGCUAGAUACCCUCAAUCUAAAACAAUUUAUCAAGGAACCUACCAGGGACAACCCAAAAUCCGUAAACAUGGGCACCCUCAUAGAUAUCAUCCUGACUAACUUGCCCUCUAAAUACACCUCUGCUGUUUUCAACCAGAAUGUCAGCGAUCACUGCCUCAUUGCCUUCGUCCGGGGUUAAACAACCACCCCUCAUCACCGUCAAAUGCUCCCUAAAACACUUCUGCGAGCAGUCCUAUCUAAUCGACCUGGCCCGGGUAUCCUGGAAGGAUAUCGACUUCAUCCCGUCAGUAGAUGAUGCCAGGUUGUUCUUUAAAAUUGCUUUCCUCACCAUCUUAAAUAAGCAUGCCCCGUUCAAGAAAGGUAGAACUAAGAACAGAUAUAGCCCUUGGUUCACUCCAGAAUUGAAUUUCCUUGACCAGCACAAAAACACCCUGUGACGUACAGCACUAACAUCGAAUAGUCCCCGCGAUAUGCAACUUUUCAGGGGAGUCCGGAACGAAAUACACAAUUCAGUUAGGAAAACAAACGCUAGCUUUUUCAAACUGAAAUUUGCACCUCGCAGCACUAAUUGUAAAAAGUUUUGGGACACUGUAAAGUCCAUGGAGAAUAACAGCACCUCCACCCAGCUGCCCACUGCACUGAGACUAGGAAACACUGUCACCACUGAUUCAUCCGCAAUAAUUGAGAAUUUCAAUAAGCAUUUUUCUACGGCUGGCCAUGCUUUCCACCUGGCUACCCCAACACCGGCCAACAGCUCUGCACCCCCGCAGCAACUGGCCCAAGCCCCCCCUGCUUCUCAUUCCCCCAAAUCCAGACAGCCGAUGUUCUGAAAGAGCUGCAAAAUCUGGAUCCCUACAAACCAGCCAACUACAAAAUCUGGACCCUCUCUUCCUACAAUGAUCCGUCGCCAUUGUUGCAACCCCUAUUACUAGUCUGUUCAACCUCUCUUUCGUAUCGUCUGAGAUUCCUAAAGAUUGGAAAGCGGCCGUGGUCAUCCCCCUCUUCAAAGAGGGAGACACUCUAGACCCAAACUGUUACAGACCUAUAUCUAUCCUGCCCUGACUUUCUAAAGUCUUCGAAAGCCAAGUGAACAAACAGAUCACCGACCUUUUCGAAUCCCACCGUACCUUCUCCGCUAUGCAAUCUGGUUUCCGAGCUGGUCAUGGGUGCACCUCAGCCACGCUCAAGGUCCAAAAUGAUAUCAUAACCUCCAUUGAUAAAAGACAGUACUGUGCAGCCGUCUUCAUUGACCUGGCCAAGGCUUUCGACUCUGUCAAUCACCACAUUCUUAUCGGCAGACUCAAUAGCCUUGGUUUCUCAAAUGACUGCCUCGCCUGGUUCACUAACUACUUCUCAGAUAGAGUUCAGUGUGUCAAAUCGGAGGGCCUGUUGUCCGAACCUCUGGCAGUCUCUAUGGGGGUGCCACAGGGUUCAAUUCUCAGGCCGACCCUUUUCUCUGUAUAUCAAUGAUGUCGCUCCUGCUGCUGGUGAUUCUCUUAUCCACCUCUAAGCAGACGACACCAUUCUGUAUACUUCUGGCCCUUCCUUGGACACUGUGAUAACAAACCUCCAAACGAGCUUCAACGCCAUACAACACUCUUUCUGUGGCCUCCAACUGCUAGUAAAAUGAAAUGCAUGCUCUUCAACCGAUUGCUGCCCGCACCUGCCCUCCCACCUAGCAUCACUACUCUGGAUGGUUCUGACUUAGAAUAUGUGGACAACUAUAAAUACCUGGGUGUCUGGUUAGACUGUAAACUCUCCUUCCAGACUCACAUUAAGCAUCUCCAAUCCAAAGUUAAAUCUAGAAUCGGCCACCUAUUUCACAACAUUUACGUCAUUUACAACAAAGCAUCCUUCACUCAUGCUGCCAAACAUACCCUCGUAAAACUGACCAUCCUACCGAUCCUUAACUUCUGCGAUGUCAUAUACAAAAUAGCCUCCAACAGCCUCCAACAGCCAAUAGCCUACUCAGCAAAUUGGAUGCAGUCUAUCACAGUGCCAUCCAUUUUGUCACCAAAGCCCCAUACACUACCCACCACUGCGACCUGUAUGCUGUCGUUGGCUGGUCCUCGAUACAUAUUUGUCGCCAAACCCACUGGCUCCAGGUCAUCUAUAAGUCUUUGCUAGGUAAAGCACCGCCUUAUCUCAGCUCACUGGUCACCAUAACAACACCCACCCGUAGCACACGCUCCAGUAGGUAUAUCUCACUGGUCAUCCCCAAAGCCAACACCUACUUUGGCCGCCUUUCCUUCCAGUUCUCUGCUCCCAAUGACUGGAACGAAUUGCAAAAAUCACUGAAUUUGGAGACUUAUAUCUCCCUCACUAACUUUAAGAAUCAGCUGUCCGAUCGCUGCAGCUGUACACAGCCCAUCUGUAAGUAGCCCAUCCAACCAACUACCUCAUCCCCAUAUUUGUUUUGUUUUUCUGCUCUUUUGCACAUCAGUAUUUCUACUUGCACAUCCUCAUCUGCACACGAUUGGCCUAUUUAUUGCCAUACCUCCUUACUUUAUUUGCAGAUACUGUAUACAGAUUUUUUUUAUUGUGUUACUGACUGUAUGUUUUGUUUAUCCUAUGUGUAACUCUGUGUUGUUGUAUGUGUCGAACUGCUUUGCUUUAUCUUGGCCAGGUCGCAGUUGCAAAUGAGAACUUGUUCUCAACUAGCCUACCUGGUUAAAUAAAGGUGAAAUAAAAAAUGUUAAAAAUAAAUCCCAAACAUUAACCCAGUUUCAGCUCUAUUGCCUCCGUGAUGACCUCUGUGAUGACCUCCGUGAUGACCUCCGUGAUGACCUCUGUGGUGACCUCUGUGACAGAGAGGCUGGGAAUUGUCUUACAGAACGGUCCUUUAUCAUGGUCAGUGUUGGAAACACGACCCUCUCACCGCAGAGAGAGAGCACCGGUUUAUGAUCCAGGCGUCCCACUGUUAGAAGACAUGCAGUCUGCCUGACUGAAGAGUCCUCCUCUCAUUACUAGCCUCCUUGAUACACAACAAGUGUGCAUAGAAAUCUGGAGGGUGAGAAUGUGCUGCGUUAAAAGUGGACCAGGGUCAAAGACACAGCGAAGACUCUGAAAACUGUGAUAGAAAUAGUGAGGAUAAUAAUCCAUUAUAUAAAUCAUUUGUUGUUGUUGUUGUUGUUUUGUUAUUAUUAUCGGCACAUGACAACAAGGAAGUGCUACAUACUUAUCUCUCAUCUCAAAUAGGAACAAGAUAAGAACAUCAUUUGAAAUCGCAGGCAGAUCAACUCAAGGGAAGAUGGUUUAUAACAAGGCCUAAACCAAUGGGAUGAUGGUUUAUAACAAGGCCUAAACCAAUGGGAAGAUGGUUUAUAACAAGGCCUAAACCAAUGGGAUGAUGGUUU